AAUCCAUGAUGAGGGAAAUCUCGAGUAUAUCCCUUAAUUCUUCCCCAUGCUUCAUGAAAACUUUCAUAGACUCCUUCCUUAAACCCCAUUAUGUCAUUUCUCAUUU
rfam:Arabidopsis lyrata subsp. lyrata unplaced genomic scaffold ARALYscaffold_5, whole genome shotgun sequence.